AAGUAAAGGAAGAGCUUUUCACCAAAGAUGGGACCUACUAUACAGUACUUGUGAGAAAGGCAGCUGGACUGGACAGAUGGAGUUUGUGAUGGGGAAAGCAAACACAGAGGCUGUCUGCAUUCCGUGGCUUGUGGCCACCUUCCUCCAUCUUCAAAGCCAGCAAUAGAGGACAAGUCUUUCUCACAUCGCAUCAAUCUGACCUUCUAUUAGGCCUCCCU
rnacentral:lncRNA from 1 species